rnacentral:lncRNA from 1 species
UGUGGUGCUGCGGGCUUUGCCCUUGUUUUACCAUUUCGCCCCCACCUAUUCCCCUCUUUGCCUAGGACUAUAUAUACACCUUCAUUUCCUCCAUUUAGACUUAGCUAAGGAUAGAUCUAAACACUAGAGCCUAGCUCAUGUAUCUCCCCUUGUGGGAUUUCUCUUGAGAGAGAGAGAGAGACACUCCAUUGGAGUUCAAGGCCUCCAUUGGAGAAGAUCCCUAGGGAUUCAAGACCCCCUUGUGGGAAGAUCCAUCUAGGAUAUCAUCAAGACCUCCUCUUGGAGAUGAACCUUACCUUGUAUCUUUCCCUUUCUUGUUUUUGUACCUUGUGAUCUUGUGUGUUUGAUUGUCUAGUGGAUGUGUGAUUGGACUUGUUCUUGAGUGUUCCUCUUGUUUUCCCUCUCUUGUUCAUCUUGUUCAUAGGGGAUUCCCCUCCAAUUCGUGAAAGAUAUCUCACCUAGGGUUCUACCCUACAUCAUUAUGGUAUCAUGAGCCAUGGUUUCUCACGAAAUUGGAGCCCCCCUCUUUGUUUUCUAGCUUGAUUUUGUUGUUUUUGUCCUAAAUUCGAAAAUCCCCACCAAAAAUAGCCCCAAAUUUUGUUGGAUUUGAUCCAUGGAUUUGGUGUUUAGCAAGUAGAUCCACCCCUCUACCACCUUCCCUUACCUUCCACCCCUCGAAUUUGACCUCAAAAUCGAAAUUCCCCACGGAUCCGGAGCAGUUCGUCCGCUCUCAGAGGACCCCAUGCACACGGGCCAUCGGGACCCCGUGCACACGGGCCAGCCAAACCCCGUGUGCACGGCCUUUCCAGUGCGUCUCCUCCACGGUACCCUCCACCUCCCACCACCCCAUACCACCCACAUACCCCCAGCUACACCCCAUCGACGAGAUCCACCCAUUCGGAUCCUAGAUCGGGACGAAAUCCGCCAAUCCCGCACAUCCCAGGUGACCCCGUGCCCUCGGUACGUGUACCGUGCGCACGGCACCCCGUGCCCACGGGCCCUAGACCCCGUGCGCACGGCCCCCCCAGGCCAGCAGCGAGCAGUUCACAGUUUUGCCCGUAACUUCCACAUCCGGAGUCCGAUUUUCGCGUUCUUUAGCUCGUUGAGUAGCUAUUGACAUCCCCCAUCCACCUAGUUAGGUUCCAACACCAUUUGACUCCAUAAAAUUUUUGACAUUUUGGCAUCUUUGCCUAGGCCUUCCACCAUAUCAUCCGCAUAACCACCACCGACUUCCGCAACCUAACCCAUUUUGUUCACCAUAGCAUUUUUGGUUGUUUGAGUGGCGACGUGAGUCUCCUAAGGCGUUUCGGCUACUUAGGGACAUUUGCUUCUUCACAAACCACCACCACUUCCACAUUGCCAUUUCCAAUACCACCAUUUGACUUUUGUUCUUGAGAUUUUGAGUUUGCGGUUUUUACCGUUUCCUAAGGUGUUUCGGCUACUUAGGGACGUGUCUACAUCAUCUUGGUAUCUACAUCAAGAACACCGCUACUCAUCAUCGCAAAGGACGGUAACCUCGACGACUCCAUUGUAUAUUCACCUUGCAAUUGCAUUGUUAACCCCUAGCCCAUUUUGCGUUACUUACCUAUCGAGACUAGCCAUUUGAGUAUUGCCGGCAAUGUUACUUGUGCACAUUAGUGGUCCAUACAUUCCAUUGCAUACAUACCAUAUCAUAUUGGUAUCAUAUCAUCCUUUGUGUCACAAUAUCAUUCCCGCAUAUACACAAUUGCUAUCUUGGUUUGUGCAUUGUGCAAAUUGGCCAUUGAAAAAAAAGAGAAAUAAAGCUUUUAAGCAAAAAGAGAGCAAAGAGCUCGUGAGCAAGUGCCAUUGCAUCAUACCCCAUUGCACAUAAGAUUGUCAAAUCCACAUCAUAUGCUUUCAUGCUUGAGAAAAACACCGGGAACCAUACAUACAUAGCAUACUUGGGAUAGAAGUUUACCCAUCUUGCAUCUAUAGGUUGUGCACAAGUGUCGUAUCCGCCUAUUGAGCAAUCGUGCUAGUGUCUCUCUUGAGUUGUGCAACACGAGCGUUUUCCGUUGACUCCACAUUUUGUGCUCAUUCCUUGGUUGCACGACCCCAUUUAUCUAUCCGUGUGUGUGUUUCUGUGUACCAUUUGCUAUUGGUCUACUUGUUUCACUUGCGAAUUUGUGAAUCUUUUCCAACAUUAUUGACUCUUGCUAACAUUUUGCAUCAAAUUUUUGUGCCACUAUCCUCACCGAGCUCUACCAUAAGCCUUGAUAGGUGUGAGUGAACGAGUCCGGUACCAAUUCCACUAUUCUUUCAUUUCACAUUGAGUGAAACGGGAUACAUCCUCAACUUUGGGAAAAGGUAACUUGGUAUUGUUUAUCUCAUUUCCUACUCACCUCUACUCGAGUCUUGUGAUGGAUAGGCAAGGCAUUUCACCUUCGGUCUACAACAACAACGAGUUCGAUGCCAUGAACAACAACUCCGACGCCAAGAUGGACAAGCGCAUGGAGGAGAUCAAGGCCGUCAUCAAGAACCGCAAGCGGUCUUCCUCAUCUUCGAGAAGACGCUCAAGUGCAAAGACUUCCGUGCUACCAUCUCCGGCAAGUACACACAAGCAUCGGCAGCGACAUGACCAUGAAGAGCGAGCUUCUGGACGAGAGUUGGCUUCUCUGCCACCCCCGUGCCCACGGGCCUUCGACCCCCGUGCACACGGGACCCCGUGCACACGGCCUCCAGCACCCCCGUGCACACGGGCUAUACAGAGCCGCGACAUCGACCCCAAGGCUUCAGCUUCUUCAACACCGAUGGCAUCUUCGCCAAGUGACUACAAGGCAUCUUCGCCUUCGGAUAUUGGGCAUCUUUGCCAACAAGCACCUCAAGACUACACUCAAGAGAAGCUACCCAAGCUCAAGUCCGCGACUUCCACGAGCUACUACGACCUCGACACUGACCACAAGAUUCCUUUCUAUGGGACUCAAGAACCCGAGGAGUACCUCGAGUGGGAGCGUUUGAUGGACGACUACCUCAAGCUACAUCAAGUUUGUCCCGAAGAUCAAGUGAAGUGCACCACAAGAAACUUCCACGACUACGCCUCGACAUGGUGGCUUCACACACCUUCGGAGAGCUAUGAGAUGAGUUGGCCCAAGACGAAGAGAGCUUUACGGCGAGAGUUUGUGCCUCCAACCUACACGGAACAACUUCGACGCCAAUUGGAGAACACCACCCAAGGAUCCAAGUCCAUCGACAAAUACUUCAAGGAGAUGAUGAUUGCCUUGCGACGAGCCGGCGUGGGCGACCCCAUGUCAAUGAAGUUCCACUUCAUGAUGGGAUUACACAACGACAUCUCCAAGACCAUCUUCCUCGAGAACUACAAGUCCAUCGAUGACUACUACAUUGGUGCUCUCAAGGCGGAACAAGAACUCAUGAAGGCCAAGGCUUCUCCACCCCAAGCACACUUCGCGGCGACCAAGCUCUACGACAAGCAUGAGGCUAGUACCACCACGAUGUCCAAGCCUGACGAGCUCCAAGAUGAUGCUCCCAAGGACCAAGCUUUGGAGGCGAGCGACAAGGUGGCGAGCAAGGAUGAUGCUUCCAUCUUAGGAGGCGAGAGUGAUGAUGUGCCAUCUUUGACCUUCAUCCACGACGAGAGUGAUGAUGUGCCAUCUUCGGCCUUCAUCCGCGGCGACCACGACGAGAUGGUUGAGCAUGGGACUUUCCCUUCGACCACGGCGAUGUAUGAUGACUUGAGUGACUUUUGCCACCAUAUUGAGAGUGAGAGUGACUUCACCACUAGCCCCAUAUAUGAUGAGUUGCCACAAUUCCCAUGUGAGGAGAGCCACAACCCCCACCACUUGAGUGAGAUGAGUGACUCCACCAUACGUGAGUUUGAGUGCACCUAUUUUGAGGGAGUGAGUGAACCACCACAUAGAGAGAGUGAGAUAGUUGAUAGGUCUCGUGAGGCCAUUUGCAUUUCUAACAACUUGACCUCUACCUCUAUUGUCUCUUCUCAUUUGGUGCUAGGUCCCAUUUAUGAUGACGCGCCGAUCCUCGACGACUUCGUCCUCCCUUUGGACAUGAAGAUGGCCAUGGUGGAAUAUGAUGCACCGGCCACAUGGUUACAUCAAGAUGAUGAUGAUGACCACCAUUUGGUCUUUCCCACCUCACCUACACCACUUGAGUGGAAUGAAAAAGGUAACAAAGGUGAAGGUGAUGCUCUAGUCCCACUAGUGGACAUUCUUGACAUUGAUUGCUUGCAUGAUGUUGAUCCACUUAGUACCAUGAUUCACGCUAGUAUGAUUUCCCCAUGCAAUGAUUUGCCCAUUUAUGAUGAGUAUGAUGAUUCUCUUGUGGAGUCUAUUGGUUGUGAUGCCAUGUUACAUAGGAUUUCUUUUGACAAUUCUUUAGGUCACAUCAUCUUUGAUAAUCCGCUUGACUUGUCAUAUGCUAUGCAUGAGAUCCAUCAUAUUUCUUAUUUGCAAUCUCUUCAUAGUGACUAUGCAUAUGCCAUUCAAAUAAACCCAAUUUGCACAUAUGGCAUAGAUGACAAGCUCAUGGUUAUUGGCAUUUGUUUUUCUUGUGAUGAUAUUGAUAUGCUCCCUUUGCAUCAUUUAUCUCAUAUGCCAUGCCAUGACCACCUAGCUUCGGAUAUGCAUUGUUUUGGAUGUUGUCCAUUUUCUCCAUAUGAUGUUUCCGAUAUUGCUCAUGAGGAGACCCCCAUAGUUUCCUCAUACAUUUUAGGAGAUUUUGAUCCAUCCCAUUCAUUGCAUGAUCCCAAUACUUGUGUACACCAUAUGCUCCCCAUGAAUAAACAUGCUUUUGAUGUGCCAUAUACUUGUUUGCUCAAUUUGUGUCCCCAUCGUGUCAUACAUAAUAACUAUUCUUUCAUGAUGGAUGACAUGUUCUUAUACCAUGCAUCAAAUUUCUUUGAGCGAUGCUUAUCUUGUGCUAACUCACACGUGCACAUACACAUCAUGAUGGAUGAUGUGUACAUUUACCACACACACAAUUUCUUUCGUUUGUGUCUCUUUUGUAUAGGUACCCAUGAAUACUUGUCAACCUCGCAAUCCCACGAGUUGACAAAACGAGCUCUAGAGAGCAACGAUGAUUUGGGAUCCCAUGGAUUGUCUUUCCCACCGCUCUCUUCACGCAAAGACUUAGCACAUUUCUUAUACAUGGCCCUCACUUGGCUAUGGGUUGUUGUCCAUUACAUAUUAUAUGCCCAUCUUGCCAUGUUCACUUUGCAUGAUAUGCUUAUUCCUAUGCCUUUGCCAUGCAUUUGUGACCCAUGCUUUGCAUUACACAUGAUGAUUGAUUCUCAUACUUGUAUGUGUAUUUGCAUGCUUGGUGGAGAUCCUUGUUGCUUUUGCCAUGUUUAUCAUGUGCCCCAUGCUAUUGAUACUAUUUUGCUCAUAUCUUGCUUUCAUGCUUGUGCUAUGACAUGUGAAUUAUUCAUGCCCACUAUUUGCACCAAUGACAUAUUUGCCAUGAUUCCUCCUAGUAUGUUGCAUCUUCGCACUACUAGCUUGCUUGAUUUGAUAGCUAUGAUUACUUGCUAUGUUGCAUCACCCAUGUUCCACUACUUGCUUUCUUGGGUUGAUGACAUAUAUGCUCAUGCCUCUCACAUGCGUUGUCUCUUGUGUCAUACUUGCUCAUCUCAUGCGGUUGAUGACAACCAUCUAUAUGCUUUGCACAUGAUUCAUAUUGCUUCGUGUCAUAUAUCUCCAUGUGUUGCCUCUCUCAUGCUAGAUGAUUUGGAAUGUAUUGAGUGCAACAAUGCUUAUAGCCUUGCUCAUGAGAUUGCCCCCAUAGCAUUCUCACAUAUGUUUGGAGAUUUUGACAUAUUCCUUGUGAAGCAUGCUUGUCUGACCUCUUUGCACCAUAUACCUAGUGCAUUGAAUAUCGCCAUUGUUGCAUCAUAUUAUUCAUGCACUUGUGCUUCUAAUGGUUAUGUGCAAGAGAAGAGAACCAUCAUGAUGGAUGAUGUGUUUAUCUACCAUGCGCAUACACUCUUUAUUUUGUUGUGUGCAUGUGUAGGAUACUUGGACUUUGUGUCGACUUCCACUUCACGUGAGUUGACCAUUCGAGCUCCUGAGAGCGAGCCUCAUACAUUCGACCACGACUCGCUUCUACACCACAUUUCCUACCACUUCGGCAUUGUGAAGGACGCACAAGGACAUGCUUUAGAGGUGAUAUCCUUCUAUCUCGAGAUCACCCAAACCAUGAGCAUGCAUAUUGUGGAUCAUACUUCAUGUGUUGCUUGCUCCAUGCCACUUUGCACACAUGCUAGCGAUCUUGCUUUGACUUCUCAUUACCACAUUGCCAUGCCCCAUGACAUAUAUGCCUUGUGUGUUGCAUCUAGUUCUUCACAUAUGCCAUGUCCCUUUGCUUAUCACAUGCUUGACUUGAUUACCUCACACAUGUUGAACAAUUGCUCUUUCCAUUGUGUUGAGUGCCACGAUAUCUUCACUACACCCUAUGCACGUUAUGCUUGGAUUGUCUUGCACUUGCCCCAUGCGUUUAGACAUUUCACUAUAUUUGGUGUUGUGAAUGACUCUUAUGCCUACCAUAGACCGUUCAUUGAGCACUUUAUACAUUCUUGCUAUGACCUUGAGGUAGAUGCUUGUUCACUUAUCACAUAUAUUUACAUCUUGACCUCCCAUUUGCAUGCUUGUUCCCAUGAUAUACUUGAUUGUGCUCAAUUUAUAUGCUCAACUGCCAUGACACACUUCUUUGUCAAACCAUAUGCUAUGCUUGAUGACAACACUUGUUGGGUGAAUCACCUCUUGAAUGCUUGGUUUUGCUCUUACGACAACCACAUUUGUUUUUCCAAGUGCUUGUUAUCUUUGCUACUUUUGAAGGAAUUACAAGACGGUGCGACAUUGGAGAGUGCCCAUUUGGAACUACAAGAUGACGAAUGCUUGGCGAUCAUCCACUUCUACACGACGCCAUCAUCUCUUUCCCAUGGUGAUUUGGAUUUCGAUCCGAGGUCAGAUCUUUCCCAAGGGGGAGGGGAUGAUGCGGAGCAUCCUAUGGACAUCACCAUGUCAAGAGUCCAUUUGACAAGUGACACGUGCCACAUCUACUUCAUGCAUACAAAGGUGAAUCAUCUCCUUUACACGUGUCCACUUGUACCCUUCGAGGAUGGUAUACUACUUGACCCCUCUCUCGUGUGCAUACUUAGGUGUGAGCGGAGCUACACAUUCAUCACGGAGGAGUCCAAGCGCAAGAGAACAUCUACACCAUCCAAGACGGAAGCCUGGAAGCGGAGAAGGAAGCGCCAAGAAGAAGGCAGCAGCUCCCAGGCGACCCCGUGCGCACGUGCCCAUCCAACCCCGUGCCCACGGGACUCCCAGGCUGGUGGUCCUGAAGACCCCGUGCGCACGGGCCUGUACCGUGCCCACGGGACCCCCGUGUCCACGGGCCUCACGGACCCCGUGCGCACGGGCCCUUGCGUCCGGUCCCUGGAUACCCUGUGCGCACGGGCUCCACUUACCCUGUGCACACGGGGCCCCCUGUGUGGUGCUGCAGGCUUUGCCCUUGUUUUACCAUUUCGCCCCCACCUAUUCCCCUCUUUGCCUAGGACUAUAUAUACUCCUUCAUUUCCUCCAUUUAGACUUAGCUAAGGAUAGAUCUAAACACUAGAGCCUAGCUCAUGUAUCUCCCCUUGUGGGAUUUCUCUUGAGAGAGAGAGAGACACUCCAUUGGAGUUCAAGGCCUCCAUUGGAGAAGAUCCCUAGGGAUUCAAGACCCCCUUGUGGGAAGAUCCAUCUAGGAUAUCAUCAAGACCUCCUCUUGGAGAUGAACCUUACCUUGUAUCUUUCCCUUUGUUGUUU